rnacentral:rRNA from 1 species
GAUGAACGCUGGCGGCGUGCCUAAUACAUGCAAGUCGAGCGAACAGACGAGGGGCUUGCUCCUUUGAUGUUAGCCGCGGACGGGUGAGUAACACGUGGAUAACCUACCUAUAUGACUGGGAUAACUUCGGGAAACCGGCUCUAAUCCAGGAUAACACGUUGAACCGCAUGGUUCAUCAGUGAAAUACGGUUUUGCUGUAUCUUAUAGAGGGAUCGGCGUCGCAUUGUAUGGUUGGUAAGGUAACUGCUUACCAAGGCAACGAUGCGUAGCCGACCUCACAGGGUGCUCGGCCACUCGGGCACCGGGCCACGUUCCAGACGCCUACGGGAGGCACCAGAAGGGCCUCUUCCGCAAUAGGCGACAGCCUGACGGAGCACCGCCGCGUGAGUGAAGCAGGUCUUCCGAUCUUAAAGCUCUGUUAUUGGGGAAGAACAACUGUGUAAGUACCUAUGCACGUAUUGACGGUACCUAAUCAGAAAGCUACGGCUAACUCCGUG